rnacentral:lncRNA from 1 species
CUGCCACAGCUUCGGGACGACUGGAUCGCCGCGCCUGGGCCGGAGCGAGCCAUCUGCGGGCACUAUGCAAAGCGGGAGACGGCGCGAGCGGCGCCCGGCUCACACUAGCUCUUCCAGGACGCAGGACAGAAGAGCUCCUUGGCACUGGAUGCCUCCGGGUCUGGUUGAGAGAGGAAUGGUUAGGAGACUGUUCUGAGGAUACGCAGACAUCAUCCAAAGCUUCCUACAUUCAGAUGAGGACAGAGGUUGGGCCAGAGCUUUGUAAGCUUGUUACCUAAGGAUGGUUCUGACCAUGUAAGCAGAUCACAGAAGCUAUUCACAGAUCAUCAUCAGCCAGAGGUGACUUCUGUUGCUUGCAGCUCAGAAUCCUAGAUGUUUCCGGUGGCACUGAAGAGCCUCUGCUGAAGCUCUAUACCAUUUGCCAUUUACAAAGGGAAAUGAAAUAAUAACGCUGACCAUUUGUGGAGCACAUUCUGUCUGGAGGCAAAGGAUGCCAAGAUGGGAAAGCCACAUAAUGGAAGGAUCCUGGAUUUCAGAGCUGUCACUUGGAGGAGGGGCACCCAGUGAAGGUGUCUUAUCUAACCCACACCAUAUCUUCAUGAAGUGGCCAUAUGGAUUUGAUCCCUAUCCUUCAGAGGUGCUCAGCCUAAGGGAACACGGAUAGUAGAUUAAGCACUGACCAGAGCCAGCCUUGACAAUGUGCUGAUGGCAACCUAGAACAUAAGCAGAGGAGUAUACAGGACAAGAACUUGAUGGUCUCGGGAAAAUGGACAACAUGACUCAGGUGAAAAAGAUUGAUCAUCAGAUGUUUCUUAUGUAUCAACCUGAUAUUUAAAUCCAUGAAGGACAGAGACGACAAAGGCAGGUGGAAUAGAUAGAGAAGAGAUUCAAGGUCUGAGCUCUACAUUACUCAAACUGUUAGAGAUUAGGAAGAAGAGGAAGACCUGGCAAAAGAAUGUCCUGGGAUGUAGAAAGAAAACCAGAAGCUUGUGUUCUCUGGAAACCAAAUGAAGAAAGGGCUUCCAGAAGGACAGACAAAGUGUAGUGUGUCAAAGGCUCCUGAGCAAUCAGAGGAGAGCACAAAGGGGCUCACAGGACUUUGGUAUCUGGAUCACCCAGUGACACUUCCUGAUCACGAGAAACUGUCAGACCAACAGGGGCACUUUCUGAAACCAGCAGUUCUUCAGUGCCCAAAUGCAACCUUGAUGGUUUGAUUUUGGAGGAUGGCAAUUCAUUAACAGCACUCCCCAGUGAUAAAUAUGAAAACCAAUAAAACCCCCCACCCAAGGCAAUCUCUCCCAGCUCCUCGCUUUGAGUAAAGUGAGUAACCUCCAUUUCUGCCAACUCCUGUCUUGUCUGAAGCCACAUUUCCCCAGCAAUGUCACAUAUGCAUUUCUUGAUCCUGGUCAUUUCUCCUCUUGGGAGAUGAAUCAUAAAGAAAAUGAGAUCUGUGUGCCCUGGUGACUAUGGAUGCAAGAGUCUGCUGCCCUGGAGGGAACAGCUGGAAAAGUAGAUGGUGAAGACGUGUGGGGGGGAAACAGUGGAGAAGGCAUCUUUGCAGGGGAUCAAGGUGACAGAGUGAUUAGUUACACUGUUUUGACAUGUGAGAACAGGGGGUUAUAAAAAUGGAUACAGGAAGAGGGAGAGAAAGUAAGGACCAAAACAUGAAGCCAGUCAUGAAUGUUUUUACAUAAAAAGCAGCAGAUUUACGGCAAAUAUGUGAUGUUUCCACAUUUUCUGCCUCUAGUUAGCAGGGGCAGCACAAAGAGCAUUACUGUGGAGCUGAACUUUGGGUAAAAGAUUAACAGCCAGUCCUUUCUCUCCAGUGUCUGCUUCCUUCUGGGCUUGCCCUGGGGGAAAAGGAGGGCUGGCAUGGAUAUGCCUGCAGCCCUCACCCUAGAUGUUCUUCCACGCCUCUCUGUUCAUUCAUUGCUUAGUCAUUCCUCAGGCAUGGAUUGAGACCACUGUGUGCCCAGGACCGACCUGGCCUAGGAUGGACAUAGAGAUGGAAAAGGCACAGGGAGCAGGUGACAGAGACAAAUCAAGGUCAUGGAGAAUAGCAGAGUAAGAUAGAAGAUGAAGGCAGGAGAUGGGGUUCUUGAGAAAGCGAGAGCAGGACUGACCCGUGUCUGCCUCACCUGUUAUUGCUGUAGCCUCUUCUCCUUGGAGUAUCCCUCCUGCUCUUGCAUCACCUUAGGAACUUGGAUCAGAGAGGAAAGUUACGGCCUGGAUAUGUUGUAGUAGGAGGGGACAAACAUGUUUGGAGACAGAAAUGCUUGGGGAGCGGGUGUUUUUGGGGGAUGAGACUUUCCAGGUCUCUCAAUUCACACUAUGUAGGUAGUUCACUGCACAGCUUAAAUAAGAGACAACUCUCCGGAGUGGUUGGCUCUCAUCCAAAAAAUGUGUUUUGGGCCUCAGAUUUCCAACGGAAGGGCUGAAGCGUGACUGGCCUGAUGUCAACUACUGAAGUCCACCUGCCCCUGCCCUAUCAGGUGUGGAAAUGCUGGGGUUCCUCUCUCAGAACCUACUUCCUGAGAUGUCGAAAUAUACCCAAGAGUAUUUCUGGGCCUUCUCCAAUCCGAAACUGUUUAGUUUUUGUGUGUGUGUGCCUACUUGGCCACACUAGAAGACAGAGGUGGCCUGGGUGAAAUGCAGGUUUCUAGAGGCUCUCUGACAAAGCUCAGGCCACCAGCCCCAGGCCAGCCUGUGGGUAGUCCUGGCUGACAGUCACUUCAUACCUCACCUGGGCUUUUUGCCAAAUUCAAAGUGUGUGUAUAUGUGGAGUGCUGGGUUCCCACCACUGACAGUCUGUAAGUCAUUCACUUAGCUCAAUUUGUCUUACUUUCUUCUGAAAUUUCUUCCUUCUUGUUCUUUUUCCCAGGAGAAACCAGGAGAAGGCAGUCCUAGGGCAGUCUCCGGGCCAGCUUUCCCUAAUAAGAAGGCAGAGCUCCUCUUCACCCAGACUUCAGACCUAUAGAGGCAGCCUGGGGUCCCGGGAUGCCCUUGCACUCAGAGAUGUCCCCAGAGUCCUAGGGAAAUGGAGGAUAACUAGGAGGAAGCUGUUCAUGGCUGGCGAUGAGGUCUAUACCUUCUUGUCCGUCUCAGUGCUGUCUGCUAUUGAAUUUUUGUGCAGAUCACAUUAACUUAAAGCCAGUUCUCAAGAAGCUCCCCCUGCCGCCGGCAUAUCCACCAGUUGCUCCCCUUUCCUGCCAUUAAUCAGGGUCUGCUAGUUAGAGAACAAAUUCCUAUUUGUCCAAACAGUUGCCAACACCCCCACCCCAAGGUAGUUAAAUGAGGAUGAAUGGGUCAUUCUUAUUAAAAAAUGACUUAAAUUUCUCAAAUUCUAUUUAUGUUUCUUUUACAUCCCAAUUUUCUAUAGAUUUAGUGACUCCAAAUGAUAAGGUCUCAAGCUCAUAAUAAUUUAUCCCUUGGGUAACACACAAGGCUUGGUGGUAUUUCAGUAAUAUUCAUGACAACAGCAGCUGUCGUGCUAAUAAGGACUGAUGUCACCAGAGCACUUUCUAUGUGCCAAGCAUGGUGCACAACACUUUACAUACAUUAUGUCAUUUAAUUUUCACAAAACCUCACAGAGGUAAAUAUUAUUAUCUUCCUCUGCAUAUAAGGAAAUGAAUGUUCGGAAAGAUUAAGUCAACUCACUGAGGUCCCAUCAGUGCUCUUUCAUAUGCCUCUGUUGCAGUCUCAUUGAACUGCUGAAAUCAGAAAAACCUGGAGACCUUGUUAACCUUCAGAUUCCUGGGCCCCAUCUUAGAUGCAGGGAGUCAGACUUCCUGGGAGUGUGGCCCUGGAAUUUUCAUUUGUAAACACAUUCCCCAAGAGACCUGUAUGCACACUAAAGUGGGAGAAUUCACGAUCUCUGGCUUUUGUGAUGUUUUAAACGCACUAUAUAAUUUCAGUAGCAAAAGAAUUGGGCUUUGGGAAGGGAGUGUGUGGUGAACCCUGAAAGCUGAAUGGACUUCCUUCCUGUGGAGGAGCAGUGGGAGAAACUGGAGGCAGAGAGCUGUGUUUCAUUCCUUGAUUGAGCCUUUGUGAGUUAUUUAAUCUCUUUCAGUCUCUAUUUUUUUCAUUUGUAAACCAGGAAGGAUACUUGUAUUUUCCAGGUGGUUGUGAGGUGUGAAAGAGAUGAGAGUAGAACAAAAUUUUAAAAGUUGAAAGCACUCAACAAAUGUAUUUGGUAUUAAUCAUGGGUUUCCCUGGGGCCGAGGAAGCCACCAGCCACCGCAGGCCUGUACACAAUGCCAGCCACCAUGUAUGGAUACGGAGGAGGCAAAAGGACUAGCGAACACUCCCAGGGACUGGAUGUCUUGAAUAUCUGUCCAACUUUCUUGGGAGGGGCCAUUUCUUCUGUAACUCAAAGGAAUUUAUUAUUUUUCAGCCAGGGAGGCAUGCUUUCUAUCUACUGCUAGUACUCCCAGACCAAGCUGUUUCAGUGGGACUGAGGUGUGACUUCUGCCUCGGUUUCAUCCAUCUGUGCAGGGAAGAGAAAAAUGCCUGCACCUCCACGGUCACACCCUCUGUUGGAACCACCUCCUUAAGCCAGAAUUAUUGAAUGUUCUCUAUGUGCCAGAAUUAUUAUUAUCUCAUUUGAUUCUCACAACAAUGCCAUGAAGUCUAUACAGACAUACCUUGGAAAUACAGCGGGUUUGGUUCCAGACCACCGCAAUAAAGCUAAUACCGCAAUAAAAUGGGUCACACGAAUUUUUUGGAUUAGGCUUCGGCUUAAGGGAAUGUUGUGGCUGGUUUGAUGUUUUAUCCAGACCGCUAACACUUUCUCCCUAUCAGCAAUGAGGCUGUUUUGCUUUCUUAUCAUUCCUGUGUUCACUGGAGUAGCACUUUUAAUUUCCUUCAAGAACUUUUCCUUUGCAUUCAUAACUUGGCUAACUGUUUGGCACAAGAGGCCUGCCUAGCUUUUGGCCUAUCUAAGCUUUUGACUUGCCUUCCUCACUGAGCUUAAUCAUCUCUAGCCUUGGAUUUAACGUGGAAAAUGUGUGACCCUUCCUUUCACUUGAACACUUGGAAGCUAUUGUAGGGUUAUUAACUGGCCUAAUUCAAUAUUAUUGUGUCUCAGGGAACAGGGAGGCCCAGAGAGAGAGAGACGGGAAAACAGAAAGUCAGUGGGGCAGGCAGAACACACACGUUUAUUUAUUAAGUUUGCUGUCAUAUGUUGGUGCAGUUCAUGCUGCCCCAAAACAAUUACAAUAACAAGAUCAAAGAUUCCUGGUCAUAGAUUGCCAUAACAGAUACAGUAAUCACGAAAAAGUUUGAGAUAUUGUGAGAAUUACGCAGAUAUUGUGAGAAAUAUGACCCAGAGACAAGAAGCGAGCACAUGCCGUUAGAAAAAUGGCACCAACAGACUUGCUUGCUGCAGGGUUACACAUACCUUCAAUUUGUAAAAAAAAAAAACUGUAAUAUCUGCAAAACGCAAUAAAGAAAAGUGUAAUAAAAUGCAGUCUGCCUGAACUUCAAUUAUUCCCAUUUUAUAGAAGAGGAAAUAGAUGCAGGGAGUUUGAUCUGCCUGAACUAGUAAAUGGUAGAACUCUGGGACUAACAUUCCUAUCCUCUAUGCUACAUUCCUAGGAAAGAACGCUCAGACAGGGUUGGACUGAGAGUGUGUUAAGCUUUGCACUGUUUUGAGCCCUCUGAAGGAGUGUCCGUAUUUGAAAGCUGGCCUCCUUCCUUUCACUGGCCCUCCACAGUGUGGCCUAAGUUAUUCAAUUAGGAAGGGAAAUAAUUGGCAGUGGAGAAUGCCUCUAGCAGUGGUAAUUACCUCCAGUGCCUUGUAGGAAUAGUCAAGCUACAUUUCAGUUUAUGCUGUAAAACCUUAAUUAUAAUAUAAACAGCUGCCCUUCAGCCCAGUGGGGCAGCCUUCCCCCGCCUUCCUUCUCUGGCCUCUGAAUGGCCCUGCCUCCUGAAUGGUCAGGGAGGUCCAGGGACGGAAGGAGACCUGGGAGGAGGGGAGCCGAUGACUAUGCGUGCGUUGGGGUUUGGAAGACUAAGCUGGAGGGAGCCACUGCCAGGGUCCCAUCUUCAAGUGAUGAAGCCAAAGGCAGCAUCCCCAUUCUUGGUACCACUCACACUGAGUCUCUUGGGGGAGCAGCCUCCAGCCAUUAGCAGUCAGCCCAGUGCCAUUAGGCUAGGAUAGGGUUUAGCAGGCUAUGGUAUCAUUUCAGGGUAACAUCUCUUUCUAUUUACUCCCCUAUAAGGGAGAACAGAGUCUUCCCUUCUAGAUCCAGACUUCCUGGCCAUGUAGGAGCCCUGUUGAGUGCCUGGUGCACUCUAGGUAGUAUGCGAGGCAUGGUUGCAAGGGUUCCCCAUUUCAACUUCACAGCACUUGGAUACACAGAAAAUUAACAUCCUCAUUUGACUAUUGAGGAAAAUGAGACUUUGAAAGUUUAAACGGAGAUAAGGCUUGGGAGGCAGACAGCCCUGUAAGUGACUUAAGUUCAGGAAGGAGAAGGACACUCAAUAUUUUUGUUCAGAGCACUGGGAAGGAGAGAGAGGGAUCAGUCACCAUCGGGCAUUUGAGAAGGUCCAGGAACAGGGGGCUGGUGAGCAGAGGGGGGAAUAACACCAGAGGGGCUGAAAUUGCUGAUUGCUGGGUUCACAGAUCUACCCACGAGCGGCCCAGGUACCCCAUGAGCGGCUGCUCUGUGUCAUCUGACCACUGGAUUGUAACCUGGGCUGAAAGAAUCAGAAGUCAGUGUGGCGAGGCAGGAGUCCUCAGAUGGUCAGAGCUGACUCUUCAACUCUUAAGGGCAAAAUGGAAAAUGUGAGCUUGUUGGUGGUCUUCGAAACACAGUAAGCAAUCCAUGCCCCUGAAGAGCAGGGAUAAUUAUAGGCAUGCCCUUGUUUUAUUGUGCUUUGCAGAUAUUGCAUGUUUUUACAAAUUGAAGAUUUAUGGCAACUCUGCAUACAGCAAAUCUAUUGAUGCCAUCUUUUUCCAAUAUCACAUGCUCACUCUGUGUCUCUGUCUCACAUUUUGGUAGUUCUCCCAAUAUUUCACACCUUAUUAUUAUUAUUAUAUCUGUUAUGAUGAUCUGUGGUCAGGGAUCUUUGAGGUUACUAUUGUAGUUGUUUUGAGGUGCCAUGAACUGCACCCAUGUAAGACAGCGAACAUAAUCAAUAAAUGUUGUGUGUUCUGACUGCUCCACCAACCGACUGUUUCCCUGUCUCUUUCUCUCUCCUCUGGCUCCCUAUUCCCUGAGGCACAAUCAUAUUGAAAUUAGGCCAAAUAAUAACCCUACAAUGGCUUCUAAAGGUUCAAGUAAAAGGAAGAGUCACAUCUCUUACUCUAAAUCAAAAGCUAGAAAUGAUUAAGCUUAGUGAGGAAGGCAUGUGGAAAGCUGAGA